CGCGUAGGCGGCCUUCUAAGUCGAACGUGAAAUCCCCGGGCUCAACCCGGGAACUGCGUCCGAUACUGGAAGGCUUGAAUCCGGGAGAGGGAUGCGGAAUUCCAGGUGUAGCGGUGAAACGCGUAGAUAUCUGGAGGAACACCGGUGGCGAAGGCGGCAUCCUGGACCGGCAUUGACGCUGAGGCGCGAAAGCCAGGGGAGCAAACG
rnacentral:rRNA from 1 species